GAUGAACGCUGGCGGCGUGCCUAAUACAUGCAAGUCGAGCGAAUGGAUUAAGAGCUUGCUCUUAUGAAGUUAGUGGCGGACGGGUGAGUAACACGUGGGUAACCUGCCCAUAAGACUGGGAUAACUCCGGGAAACCGGGGCUAAUACCGGAUAACAUUUUGAACCGCAUGGUUCGAAAUUGAAAGGCGGCUUAGGCUGUCACUUACGGAUGGACCCGCGUCGCAUUAGCUAGUUGGUGAGGUAACGGCUCACCAAGGCAACGAUGCGUAGCCGACCUGAGAGGGUGAUCGGCCACACUGGGACUGAGACACGGCCCAGACUCCUACGGGAGGCAGCAGUAGGGAAUCUUCCGCAAUGGACGAAAGUCAGACGGAGCAACGCCGCGUGAGUGAUGAAGGCUUUCGGGUCGUAAAACUCUGUUGUUAGGGAAGAACAAGUGCUAGUUGAAUAAGCUGGCACCUUGACGGUACCUAGCCAGAAAGCCACGGCUAACUACGUGCCAGCCGCCGCAGUAA
rnacentral:rRNA from 1 species